rnacentral:tRNA from 1 species
GGGGCUGUAGCUCCGUGGCAGAGCAUGUGCCUUGCACGUAUGAGGCCCUGGGUUCGACACUCAGCACCACA